UACGAAGGGUGCAAGCGUUACUCGGAAUUACUGGGCGUAAAGCGUGCGUAGGUGGUUCGUUAAGUCUGUCGUGAAAGCCCCGGGCUCAACCUGGGAAUGGCGAUGGAUACUGGCGAGCUAGAGUGCGGUAGAGGAGAGUGGAAUUCCCGGUGUAGCAGUGAAAUGCGUAGAGAUCGGGAGGAACAUCAGUUGCGAAGGCGGCUCUCUGGACCAGCACUGACACUGAGGCACGAAAGCGUGGGGAGCAAACGGG
rnacentral:rRNA from 1 species